ensembl:lncRNA
AUGAGCUGGCCAGAAACCAGGCCUGUCCUGACCGUGGCACGCUCUCAGAGCCUCUGAUGUCACUGAUUCCAGUCUUGGGCCCAGCACCAGCACUGAGUCUGUGGAAAAGAUCUAAGAGCAUACUCAGGUACUAACUCUGAGUUGGUUCACUCAAUGAAAUUUCAGUUUAGGCUCAUUUUCAGUGAGCUUAGAUUCUGCUCUGGGUUGGAUGGAUUUCUGGUGUGUUUAAAUUGUUGUCUGGCUGUGCAGCAAUUCAUGCAGAUUCGAGAUCAGAUUAUGAACGGGAUGGGUCCUUCUGCUGCUUCCCACCUUUCACCUCCAUGCACCUGGGAUGAUUAACUCACCUCCUCAGGUUGAAACGCUGAGCUGGCUCCUUCCUCUUGCCCUGGAUGGAGUUCCUCCAUUUGAGCAGUCCUUCCCACUCCCGCCUUUUACCUGGAAAUAAUAUGUGUGGAGUGUGUCAGGCCGGAGGUUCCAACAGUUCUUUCCCAGAUUGUUGUCGCUGCGAUGUUACCAGCUCUGAACCUCCUCACACAUCUUACCUGGAAACCUGCUCACUUGUUGCCUCCAGAAACCCCCAGAACUACUCACCAGCCCCAUGUAAUCUGUCAAAGGAAGGACUUACCCGCUCACCUGCCUGCCCGCUCUUCAAGCGCUUUCUCCGCCACCUGUCUGAUACUCGCCAGCUACCUUCACACUCCCUCUGAGCCUCCCCUCACUUCCAACGCAACCAAGACCUCUGGUUCACUCUCAUUAUUCUCAUCAUCCUCUUGGGUUCCUGUUAAUCUCUUGUCUCCUGUCUAACAGAGCUUCCGUGUACCAGUCUAAAGUGUCUCCGAAUUUCUCCACCAACUGUCUGAACCCAUUAACAAUUCAUUCUUUCACAGUAAACAGUACGAACCUUUCUGCUGUUGUCUGAGUCUGCUCUUUGGGCCCGCUUUUUGCCAUAAUACGACAUUGUCGCU